GAGCGGGAAGUGAAAGAGCCGCCCCUGCCCUGUUCCUGCUCCCCGUGCGCUGCUUGUGCGGCCAAUCUUCCGCAGCGUGUCCGGGGCUGCGGGUGCGAUGGAGACAAGUGCCGAGAGGUUUGUGCACACGAGGCUUUGGCUUUCCUGCUCUCGAGGGGAGCUCAUCCCCUUUCCCAGUGCCCAGAGCAGGAUCCACAUUUACUUUCCCCUAAAAGCCUCUGUUUUGGGGUGGUUGUAAGACCCUCUGGGACUGCUCUGGGGGACGUGUGGGUGCUUUGUUCUAGCGGCCGCCUUGUCUCGUGGUGCUUGUUUUGGGGGACAGAGACCCAGCACCAUGCGGGGGGCCCCCUGACCCCUCUGCCGUGCUGGGGUCGUGGGGAGAGCAGCUGGGUCCCCUCUGCCGUGUCCCCCCUCCUCUGCAGCUCAGGGGCCCCAAGGAGCCCACGGCAAGGGGGUCCCAGCGGGCGGGGUGCGGCCCCGGGGCUGUUCGGCAGCCCGCAGCCGCCUCCCUGGCCGAUCCCUCUUCUUCCUCCCAACCCUCCUCCUCUUCCCGCCACCGCCCUCCCCCACUCCUUGCUUUGUUUCGCUGCCUCCGCACUCCCCUCAUCCCCUUCCUUCUCCUCCUUCUCCCACCCCCAUCCUCUUCCUCUCCGUCUGCUCGCUGCAGCCCGCAGCCGCCCGUCCCCUCCGUCCCGUCCCUCCCGAGCGCUGCCCGCCGCCUCGCCGGGGUGCCCGGGCAGGGGAAGGGGUGCCCGGGCAGACGGGGCUGCCUGGCUGAGACCUUCCCCUGGCAGCUCAACCUGGGCAAGGUCCCCUCACCGGCUGGAUCUGACCCUGGGCCGAGCCACCAGGGCCAGUGCCAGCCCCGAGGUGGCCCUGCAGUUGGCAGGGACCCGGUGCCCCACAAGUCUGCGGGCAGCCAAGCCCCUCUGGUUGGUGUUGCUCCCCUUCUCUCUUUUCUCGCACUGGUUCUUGACCUUCCCCCUCAUGCCAUCCUGUUCCCCAUCCCACGCCUUGUGCUGUGCUGCUGUUUGGGUGUGCAGGGCACUGGUGCCAGGGUUUUUGGGGUCGGCAGGAGCACAGAGAGGCCAAUGUCCCUGGCCAUCCCCAGUGGCCCCGCAGCCGACCUGGCUGCAGCGAUGGUGCCCAGGCACUGUGGGGUUCCCCUUCUCCAAAGUGGAGGUUCAUCCCACGAUCUCAUGCAGGGCAGGUUCUCCUGGGACUGUGACAGGAUCCGGCUCAGAAUUUAUCCCUGAUUUACCUCCCCCGCAGGAUCUCUUUGUUGUAGCUGCAGGAAUAAUUGUAUUUAGGAGAGCACUCCUUCAGCAGGAGGAAGCGGCAGCUCCCAGGCGCAUCCCUGCCUGUCAUCACUGGCUGCUGGGGGUGCUGAGGGUGCUGGGACCCCCGGUGGGAUGUGCUGGGACCCCGGGGGGGUGUGCUGGGACCCCCGGUGGGGUGUGCUGGGACCCCCGGUGGGGUGUGCUGGGACCCCGGGGGGUGUGCUGGGACCCCCGGGGGAUGUGCUGGGACCCCCGGGGGAUGUGCUGGGACCCCGGGGGAUGUGCUGGGACCCCCGGGGGAUGUGCUGGGACCACCGGGGGAUGUGCUGGGACCACCGGGGGAUGUGCCGGCCACCAGAGCUGA
ensembl:lncRNA